rnacentral:rRNA from 1 species
UGGCUCAGGAUGAACGUUGGCGGCGUGNNAAUACAUGCAAGUCGAANGCGAAGCUUGUUUUNGGACGAGCGGAGAGUGGCGCACGGGUGAGUAACACAUGGCUGACCUGCCCCCCAGAGGGGGACAACCACUGGAAACGGUGGCUAAUACCCCAUACGCUCAUCGUGAUUAGCAGGCGGUGAGGAAAAGUUCAGGCGCUGGGGGAGGGGGCUGUGGCCCAUCAGCUAGUUGGUGUGGUAACGGCGCACCAAGGCGAUGACGGGUAGGGGGCCUGAGAGGGUGACCCCCCACACGGGUACUGAGACACGGACCCGACUCCUACGGGAGGCAGCAGUAAGGGAUAUUGCGACAAUGGGCGAAAGCCUGACGCAGCAACACCGCGUGCGGGAUGACGGCCUUCGGGUUGUAAACCGCUUUUCUGGGGGAAGAGGAAGGACGGUACCUCAGGAAUAAGUCUCGGCUAACUACGUGCCAGCAGCCGCGGUAAAACGUAGGAGGCGAACGUUAUCCGGAUUUACUGGGUGUAAAGCGCGUGCAGGCGGUCAUGUAAGUCGUGUGUGAAAGCGCCCAGGCUCAACCGGGCGAGGACGGACGAAACUGCGUGACUGGAGGCAGGUAGAGGCGUGCGGAAUUCCGGGUGUAGUGGUGAAAUGCGUAGAUAUCCGGAGGAACACCAGUGGCGAAGGCGGCGCGCUGGACCUGACCUGACGCUAAGACGCGAAAGCAUGGGGAGCGAACGGGAUUAGAAACCCCGGUAGUCCAUGCCGUAAACGAUGCGUACUAGGUGUUGCGGCGUCAAGCUGCAGUGCCGAAGCAAACGUGAUAAGUACGCCACCUGGGGACUACGGCCGCAAGGUUAAAACUCAAAGGAAUUGACGG